GUUCUGGUGGCGGCGGGAUGGAGCAAUCUUGCAGACUUUAUCUCGAUGUUACAGGCGCUGCGUGGAAAUACGGACUCGCUCUGCGUUAGAUUUCUGCUGCUUAUCUUGCUCUUCAACAUGGCAGAAGAUCGGCAAGUUGUUGUUUUUAAAUUGUGACUUUAGAGCUGCAAGCAAGAGUGAGAGAUCCUAUUAUUGGAUAUUAAUAAUAUCCAAUUAUUAUAGGAGCACUUUCAUAGGAAAGCAGCAUUCAUCAUCAGGGAUGCCCAACACCCAGAUCAUGUUGCCUUGUCGCUGCUGACAUCAGUAAGAAGGUACCAGAGCCUCAGGACCCACACCACCAGUCUCAGGAGCAAUUAUUACCCCUCAACCAUCAGGCUCUUGAACAAGAGGGGUAAAUUCAUUCAACUUCACUUGCCCCAUUACUGAACUGUUUCCACAACCUAUGGACUCACUUUCAAGGACACUUCAUCUCGUGCUUUUGAUGUUUAUUGCUUAUUUAUUAUUAUUAUUAUUUCUCUUUCUUUUUGUAUUUGCACAGUUUGUUGUCUUUUGCACAUUGGUUGUUUGUCUGCCCUAUUGGGUGUGGUCUUGCACUGAUUCUAUUUUGUCUCUUGGAUUUACUGUGAAUGCCCGUAAGAACACGAAACUCAGGUUGUA